rnacentral:rRNA from 1 species
GACGAAGGCCUUAGGGUCGUAAAGCUCUUUCGCCAGAGAUGAUAAUGACAGUAUCUGGUAAAGAAACCCCGGCUAACUCCGUGCCAGCAGCCGCGGUAAUACGGAGGGGGUUAGCGUUGUUCGGAAUUACUGGGCGUAAAGCGUACGUAGGCGGAUUAGAAAGUAGGGGGUGAAAUCCCAGGGCUCAACCCUGGAACUGCCUCCCUAAACUACUAGUCUAGAGUUCGAGAGAGGUGAGUGGAAUUCCAAGUGUAGAGGUGAAAUUCGUAGAUAUUUGGAGGAACACCAGUGGCGAAGGCGGCUCACUGGCUCGAUACUGACGCUGAGGUACGAAAGUGUGGGGAGCAAACAGGAUUAGAUACCCUGGUAGUCCACACCGUAAACGAUGAAUGCCAGACGUCGGGGGGCUUGCCCUUCGGUGUCACACCUAACGGAUUAAG